GGACCCGUGGCCCAGACUGGAUAAGGCAGCGCCCUCCUAAGGCGAAGACCGGGAGUUCAAAUUGAUACUUUGCUCAUUUCGAGUUGUCAUGUAAAUCUCCCCGGGUCCG
rnacentral:tRNA from 1 species